UACAGAGGGUGCGAGCGUUAAUCGGAGUUACUGGGCGUAAAGGGCGCGUAGGCGGUAGUAUGUGUGUGAUGUGAAAGCCCUGGGCUUAACCUGGGAAGUGCAUCGCAAACUAUACAACUGGAGUACAAGAGAGGGUGGCGGAAUUUCCGGUGUAGCGGUGAAAUGCGUAGAGAUCGGAAGGAACGUCGAUGGCGAAGGCAGCCACCUGGCUUGAUACUGACGCUGAAGCGCGAAAGCGUGGGGAGCGAACAGG
rnacentral:rRNA from 1 species